CAAAACACUCCACAAAAUUCCACAUCAGCUUCCUCAAAUUUAUUUCCUCACCUUGCAUUGCAGUUACACUUUGGUUGAUCAAUAUUCAUUCUUCAAUUCAUUCACGUUAAACUUCUAGCGGUUACGUCUCCUCAUUAUCUCCACCAUUACGAAACUGAUUUAUCAUUCAGCAACCACUUCCAAUCUUCUUCUUUUAAUUACAAAAGUGACAAAACUUACCACAAAUGGAGAGCUGUAUGCCCGAAUCGGAAGGAUUCCGAUUGAAGAUUUCCGUUGAGCGGUAUGUACGUGGCGCUCGGUGGAGGACGUCGGUUCUGGGUGGAUCGCGGCCGUAGCCGCUGAUGAUGGUGGUGGUCGGGUUAUCACGGUUUGAAGCGGCGUGCUGUGGAGGUUACGCCCGAUGUUUUGUCGGAAAUGUUGUUCUAAGAUUGGUGUAGCUCAGGACGCUAACGACAUUGACGAUGGCACCUUGGAGAUAGGAAUGGGUUUAUGCAUCACCAUUCCACAACUGUGUUAAGGCUGUUGAACCGGUUUUGCUUUUAAGGUGUUGAAUAAAUAUACUGGAAGAACGACGGGCUGUGUCGAUCUUGGCCAGAAGGGUGAUGCUCGCGGUGAUUGGUUUCGCUUUUUGAUGACCCUUCACAGUGGUCGGGUUUGAUUAAACGGAUUUUCAAACAUCAAUCAAUUGGUUCCAGAUGAAUCCCAGCGAAAGCCUCCCUGUUUUCCAAAACGGGUCUCACAUCAUUUACAAGGCUAUUGAUAUAAUACAGUAUGUUCCCUUCGAGUUUUCAUUCUGUCAUAAUUGCUUUCAAUAGAUGUUCAUAAUUUCAGAAACUUUAUUUUAAAUGCUUUUAUUAUAAAAGGACGUUUUAUAGGGUCGUGGAUUUUCAGGUACAUAGAAAGAAUUGUUGUGGUCUCUGCAGGGUCUGAGGAUGUUAGUAGCAAUAGGAAGGAAGUGAUUGAAUGGAUGCAAAAGAUACAAGAAUGGAUUCCUAAAUAUUUUACUCUUUUGCAUAUACCAGACAAGUCCAAUCUCAAUUAAUGUUUGAUGGAUGUCAAGUGAGUGAAGUGAAUAUAUCUCUGGAUGAAAUUACUCUCUCCUUCAUUGGCGUAGGUUCUCCAUAAUGUAUUUCUUUAUUUAUAUUGGAUUAGUAUGCUUCUGUUGAGCCAAGGUCAAAAUACAUGUUUCACUUUUUUAUGUGAUUGCUAACUACGUAAUUUGCUUCCGUGUUCUGUACAUGUUGAGGUGUGUCGUGUAGAAUUGUUAGGUAGUAGAUAAAGUGUUGUUGUAGCACCGUGGUGCAUUGGAAUUUGGACUUGCUACUUUUUUGUGUGACCAAGCCGAUGAAAUUGUUUUGGAUUCUCGAGUUUGGCAUAGAACUUCUGCUAUGGCUAAGUUUUGAAUUGUUGAAGGCGAUGAAGAGAUGGAGAUUGUUUGAUGACUUUCUGUGAAAUUGGAGAGUGAGUGAUGAAUGAAUGUUGAAGAAGAUAAGAGUUGAAGGUGAUUUUUGCAGCUUUAUAGGUUGAUUCAGUUGGGAGAAAUCAGUUAGAGAUUCAGUUACAAAUUGAAUGGAUGAGAUGGUUGAUUCGGUUAAGAGAGUUCUGUUAGUGAAUAUGCGGUUUAGUUUGUGGUGUGGUAAGAAUUUUAUGUGGUUUGACUUGAUGUUGGGGCAACUGCAGGAUUGAGGGCUUUGGUAGGGUAUGCUUCUGAUAAGAUCUUGCAAGCGGUAAAUAUUUCUUGGUGCGUGCAUACUCAACAUUCUAAUCUGUACUCAGGAUUCUAAUGUUGCUUGCCAUAGCCAUACUUCAAGCUGCGGUUGGAAGUCAAGCUAUCAUCACCGGAACUUUCUCGAUAAUCAAACAGUGUUCCUCUUUAAGAUGCUUCCCAAAAGUCAAAAUUGUUCACACGUCGUCCAAAAUACAUGGCCAGAUUUACAUUCCUGAGAUUAACUGGAGUCUGAUGAUUCUUUUCCGUGCUGUUACAUUUGGUUUUCGAGAUACCGAACGCCUCAGAAAUGUUGCAGAAGAAGCAUAUGUUCCGGAGAAUGCAAACACUAUUAAACACCUGCAAGCUACUGCCAGAAAGGAAGUCCUCCCACUUUUUGGUCUUGAAAAGAUUUGGAAAAUCCUCAAAAUCUUCCAAAAUAGAGCAGCAACUAAUCAUGCGGCUAAGGAAAAGCAGAAGGAGGAGUGAGUCUUGGAUGUGCUGACAACACAGGUGCUGCAGGGACAUAUUAUGAUGCUGUUCCACGCAGUCUUACCAUUUGCAAUCAUAAUCUGUCCACACAAACUUAUACACUUAUAUUAGAGUUUCCUAAGGCGCCUCUUUGGACAAAUAUUUAUAUCUAGAAUCAGGCCAAGGCAUUGUUUCCUUUAUACUGGAGCCAUGUUCAGGUGAAGUUGUACAGGGUUCAGUUCGGUUCGAUAAAGAGCAUUCAAUUCUUUCUAUGUGAAGGAACUUGAUGAGGCUUUAAAAACGAUUGUCUUUAUAUACAUGACAGUUCCAACCAACCAGUGCAAGUGAGUUGAACUUGUGACCUUGAAGGUUGUUGUCACGAUUGU